rnacentral:rRNA from 1 species
UGGGGAAUUUUGGACAAUGGGCGCAAGCCUGAUCCAGCCAUGCCGCGUGCGGGAAGAAGGCCUUCGGGUUGUAAACCGCUUUUGUCAGGGAAGAAAUCUUCUGAGUUAAUACCUCGGGAGGAUGACGGUACCUGAAGAAUAAGCACCGGCUAACUACGUGCCAGCAGCCGCGGUAAUACGUAGGGUGCAAGCGUUAAUCGGAAUUACUGGGCGUAAAGCGUGCGCAGGCGGUUUUGUAAGACAGAGGUGAAAUCCCCGGGCUCAACCUGGGAACUGCCUUUGUGACUGCAAGGCUUGAGUGCGGCAGAGGGGGGAUGGAAUUCCGCGUGUAGCAGUGAAAUGCGUAGAUAUGCGGAGGAACACCGAUGGCGAAGGCAAUCCCCUGGGCCUGCACUGACGCUCAUGCACGAAAGCGUGGGGAGCAAACAGGAUUAGAUACCCUGGUAGUCCACGCCCUAAACGAUGUCAACUGGUUGUUGGGAAGGUUCCUUCUCAGUAACGUAGCUAACGCGUGAAGUUGACCGCCUGGGGAGUACGGCCGCAAGGUUGAAACUUAAAUGAAUUGA